rnacentral:misc_RNA from 1 species
GCAAACUUGGUCAUUUAGAGGAAGUAAAAGUCGUAACAAGGUUUCCGUAGGUGAACCUGCGGAAGGAUCAUUAUCGAGACCAAACGUUGGAGACUGUGCUGGCCCUUGGGCAUGUGCACGUCCCCUUCACUUCCACACACCUUGUGCACUCCCGAGGCGGCUCUCUCGCAGGAAGCCGCCUGCUUUUUACAUGCGCCUUUUUAUGUAUUUGGGAAUGUCUUUUCUAAAUAGAAACAACUUUCAACAACGGAUCUCUUGGCUCUCGCAUCGAUGAAGAACGCAGC